rnacentral:rRNA from 1 species
AGCGAACGCUGGCGGCAGGCUUAACACAUGCAAGUCGAGCGGGCACUUUCGGGUGUCAGCGGCGGACGGGUGAGUAACGCGUGGGAACGUGCCCUCUGGUUCGGAAUAACUCAGGGAAACUUGAGCUAAUACCGGAUACGCCCUUUUGGGGAAAGGCUUGCUGCCGGAGGAUCGGCCCGCGUCUGAUUAGCUAGUUGGUGAGGUAACGGCUCACCAAGGCGACGAUCAGUAGCUGGUCUGAGAGGAUGAUCAGCCACACUGGGACUGAGACACGGCCCAGACUCCGACGGGAGGCAGCAGUGGGGAAUAUUGGACAAGGGGCGCAAGCCUGAUCCAGCCAGGCCGCGUGAGUGAUGAAGGCCUUAGGGUUGUAAAGCUCUUUUAUCCGGGACGAUAAUGACGGUACCGGAGGAAUAAGCCCCGGCUAACUUCGUG